GUUGAAUAGAUUAUUAUUCCGUAGACAGUAGGUGCUUUAGGCGUAACAUGAUACCUACCGAGGAUUCUAAUAAAUGCGAAUUUAUUGGUCUCUUCGUGUGCCUGCGGAGAGACCUUAAUUUUUUUAAUA
rfam:Clostridium sp. BL8 Contig73, whole genome shotgun sequence.